rnacentral:rRNA from 1 species
UCGCGACCCCAGGUCAGGCGGGAUUACCCGCUGAGUUU